UUGAUUUUAGUUAUUUGUGAACGUACUACGAAUUACAAACAAAAUAUUAUAGUCAAAACAAAAAUAAAUCA
rnacentral:misc_RNA from 1 species